UACGUAGGUGGCAAGCGUUGUCCGGAAUUAUUGGGCGUAAAGCGCGCGCAGGCGGUCCUUUAAGUCUGAUGUGAAAGCCCUCGGCUCAACCGAGGAGGGUCAUUGGAAACUGGAGGACUUGAGUGCAGAAGUGGAAAGUGGAAUUCCAAGUGUAGCGGUGAAAUGCGUAGAGAUUUGGAGGAACACCAGUGGCGAAGGCGACUUUCUGGUCUGUAACUGACGCUGAGGCGCGAAAGCGUGGGGAGCGAACAGG
rnacentral:rRNA from 1 species